CCAUGGGCAGGUGACUGGGCUGCCCAGCCUCAGCGGACAACCCGUCCUUGAGGAGCGCGGGGUGGGGGUAGAGCCUGGCUCAGUGGCCUCUGUGCCUUCACAGCUCUAGGUGCUUUCCUGCUAGUUGCCAGCGCCCUGUGUGGGUUUGCUGGGUUAUUGACCUAUCUCUCCUCCAGGCUGGGGACAGUCUUCUGCUUCUUUCCUCCCAGCACGAUGCCUAGCACUGAAUAGGUGCGUGAAAUGCUCACCGGUACACGUGGUUAAAAGGCUCCACAGUCCCUCCCAGAGCCAUUCAGGUCCCUUUGUCUGCUUGUGCCCUCCCUACCUGCACUCCUUCCUUCCUCUUAACUCCUACUUAUCCUUUCACCUGUCCCGGUAUACCAUUAUACCAUACCGACUCCUGGUGGUUCAGAUACUCCCCGCCCCUCACCCCUACUGUGUUCUGAUCACACUUCUCUCCCCACCCUGCUGACUUGUCCUUUUCCAUCUUGUGAAUGGUUCCCAGCAGAGUGCCUGGGAUGUAGCAGAUGCUCCCUAAAUGUUCCCUGACCAAUAGGUGCUGUUUGGAUUUUGUGUUUGAGUCGAACUCGUGUGCCUGGGCUGAGGCUUUGUCUUCGCCUGGACCCGACUCGCCCCACCGCGGCUCCUGUCCCCACCACCUCCCACCUCCGGUCCGACAUCUAGCCAGACUGAACCACUCAGCAUUGUCUAGAUGUCACGUUCUCUUCCUUCUAGGCAGACUUGUGCUGUUCCUUCUGCCUGGAAUACUUUUUCUCCAGCUUCUGCUCUUCCUCAGCAGUCAACUCAGGCAAAACCUUUUCCAGGGAGCCUUCUCUCACCCCACUGGUCUGGGUCUAGUGCUUCUCCCGUGUUCCCAUAGCUGCCAGGGACCCCCAGCAGAGCCCUGGGCUCCCCACAGCCAACGGUAUUUGGUGACUCGGCCUCUCCCAGUAGCCUGUCUGGUUCCCUCUUGUCACCCCAAGAGCCCAGCCCAGGGCCUGGCACCAAGCAAGUGCUCAGAAAAUGUUGGCAGCACAGCGGGUAACUGGCGGUCACACAUCCCGGCUGACAGUAGCUCUCACUUCCUCAUAGGGAGGCAGCUUCCAUGGAGCGAGAGGAAUGCCAAGACCCUGCCCAGACAGACGGGGGCCAGCCUCAGCACCGACAGCCAGCACGCAGAUAGCAGAGCCGUGCGCGGGAUCCAGGGCAUCGGACAAAGGUGGCAGGAGACAGAAUGCUUCUUCCUUCUCCCGACUCAGCGGCCGGCUGAGGAGGAUGUGGCUGCUGGACUUCAGAUGCCAGCGUUAAGUUUCCUUGUGAAUCCCGGUGCUUUUCUCUCUCGGCGCAGAUCUUGUGAGUCUGGGUUGUUAACCAGACCAUCUUGUGACCACACUUCCCAAGGUGUGUUCCAUGGAACACCAGUUUCUGUGGCCGCAGUGGUUGGAUAGCCCUGGGAAACAAGUUAUCCCUGCUGCAGGACUUCUUAGCCUGGACUGCGUCGAAGGGAGCGCGAGGUGGCUUGUAGAGAGAGCCUUGGAGAGGGAGUCGGCACGUUGUGUGUCCCCCCACUUAUUUGAUCAUGGGGACUGGGGUUCCUUGGCCUGCACUUUGGAAACCGGUUCCCACAGGCAGGAGAGUGUACUGGUUAAGGACCCAGACUUCAUAGACCGGGGUUUGAGUCCUUGCUGUCAUGUGUUCAGUGAGGGGCUGUGGGCCGGUCACCCUACCUCUCUGAGCCUCAGUUUCCUUAGCUGUAAAGAGGUGAUCAUUUUAGCACCUUACCUCCCUGUAGGGUAUUUUGAAGGUGAAAUAUAUUGAUAGAGGGAAGGCACUUAACAGAGGAUGUCCCAGGAUGUGUUCUGGAACCUGAGCGGCAUUGGGUGGACUACUCUAUAAUUUAUAAAACACAUCUUAUCGAUGAUUUCCUCUGACCAUUUGAGGAAGCUCAGGCAGUGGCCUUGGUCCCUCGUUUACAGAUGUGGAAACUGAGGUUCAGAGGGAGGAAGCAGCUUGCCCAAGGGUUCAGGAAGGAAGGAGGGAUGUGGGACUGGAACCAGAUCCUAGACUCCCGGGUCAGGGUCCUUUGUUCUGUGCCUGAGGCCUCCCUGCAUCCUCCUGUCACCUCGGCUUUUGGGUAAGGAAGACCUGGCCCUCCCCAGCUUGGAGUUUUAAAGAAAUAGUAAUUUUUUUUUUUGGAUAAUUAACCAACAUAGUUGCAUGUUCGCUGUAGGUUUUUAUAGUGUUUUGAUUUUGAUGUCAUGGAAAGCGAAAGUCUCCUGUGAUCCCCAUCUCCAGAGAUAUGAAUGGGGAGGAGUGUAUUAUUCACAUGUGUUAUUACUAUUUGCUUAUUUUUCCCAUGUCAAGUCUUGUUAGGGCUGCUGGUUCACAGUUUGCUCCCGUUUCAUUUCCUGGCCCCCCCAGGACCUCUUUCCCAGGCAAGGGGGGAUC
ensembl:lncRNA